rnacentral:lncRNA from 7 species
AUUCAAAUUUAAAUUCAAAAUAGUUAAGAAUGAAAGAAAACAAAAAAAAGAGAAGAGGGGGGAAGUUAGUUGGGCCUCGGCAUUCAAUUUUGGCCCAUCUCCUCUUUGCUUCCCACUGCGCGGCUCCUUCCCACUCCCGCGCAAGCCCAGUCCAGGUGCCAGGCGCCGACCUGCGAGGUCCACGCGUAAGUCGGCCGCGCCCGCUCAUUCAAGUCACUUACGCGUGGGUUCACGUGUUCAGAUCCUUCCUCAACGAACGGUCCGAACUCGACGGGGGUGAUCCCGCCAUUGUUGCGUUUUCUUCUCCGCUCGGUUGACUGCUUCUACAGAUAAAAAGCCAAUGUGGCCGAAGUCUCGUUCGCCCAUCCACUAUUCCGCCCUUUCCCCUACCUCGUUGAGCACAAUCGCCGUGAGCCGAGGAAGUCGUAACCCGCCGCUGCACCAAAUUCGUGUGCCACCGUCGUCCGUAGAGCUCGGCGCUAAAUUGGAGCCUUGCGGGAGGCCAGGAGGCUUCGCCCGGGUCUCCGGUUCGCGUUGGUGGCGAUUACUGGGCAGGAGGGUGACCGGAGCGCGCCUAAUUUGUCUC